CGGCGACUGAAGCCGCGCAGCGAGGAGGGGCGGGGAGUGGCCGCCGCCGUCCCCGGGAGGCGCCGGAGCCCGACUGCACUCGCAGCCAGCCAGCCGUCCCGAGCCGCUCGCAGGUCACCUCUGACCCUGUUUUCCUAAUCCCAGACCUAGUUACUUCGUUGAAGGGGGCACUGAGGCUCGGCAGUAUUUCACUGAAAACACCCUGCGAGUAC